GACGAACGCUGGCGGCGCGCCUAACACAUGCAAGUCGAACGAGCGAGAGAGAGCUUGCUUUCUCGAGCGAGUGGCGAACGGGUGAGUAACGCGUGAGGAACCUGCCUCAAAGAGGGGGACAACAGUUGGAAACGACUGCUAAUACCGCAUAAGCCCACGGCCCGGCAUCGGGUUGAGGGAAAAGGAUUUAUUCGCUUCAGGAUGGACUCGCGUCCAAUUAGCUAGUUGGUGAGGUAACGGCCCACCAAGGCGACGAUUGGUAGCCGGACUGAGAGGUUGAACGGCCACAUUGGGACUGAGACACGGCCCAG
rnacentral:rRNA from 1 species